GUGAGGAAUAUUGGUCAAUGGACGGAAGUCUGAACCAGCCAAGUAGCGUGCAGGACGACGGCCCUAUGGGUUGUAAACUGCUUUUAUACGGGGAUAAACUGCGGGACGUGUCCCGCACUGCAGGUACCGUAUGAAUAAGGACCGGCUAAUUCCGUGCCAGCAGCCGCGGUAAUACGGAAGGUUCGGGCGUUAUCCGGAUUUAUUGGGUUUAAAGGGAGCGUAGGCCGUGGAUUAAGCGUGUUGUGAAAUGUAGACGCUCAACGUCUGAAUUGCAGCGCGAACUGGUCCACUUGAGUACGCACAACGUUGGCGGAAUUCGUCGUGUAGCGGUGAAAUGCUUAGAUAUGACGAAGAACUCCGAUUGCGAAGGCAGCUGACGGGAGCGCAACUGACGCUGAAGCUCGAAAGUGCGGGUAUCGAACAGGA
rnacentral:rRNA from 1 species